rnacentral:rRNA from 1 species
GACGUAGGGCGCGAGCGUUGUCCGGAUUUAUUGGGCGUAAAGAGCUCGUAGGCGGUUUGUCGCGUCUGCCGUGAAAGUCCGGGGCUCAACUCCGGAUCUGCGGUGGGUACGGGCAGACUAGAGUUCGGCAGGGGAGACUGGAAUUCCUGGUGUAGCGGUGGAAUGCGCAGAUAUCAGGAGGAACACCGGUGGCGAAGGCGGGUCUCUGGGCAGUAACUGACGCUGAGGAGCGAAAGCGUGGGGAGCAAACAGG